ACUACUUGUUAUAACCUGCUUUCACUAUGCCUCUAGACUUCUGAGCCACCAGAACUGUGUAAACCAUAAUUCUUCCCUUUCUAAAUUACCAAGUCUCUGGUAUUUUAGUAUAGCAAAAGAACACAGACUUAGAGACUAGGUGUCUCUUAUCUCUGUGCAAUGGUUACUUUAAUACAGCAUCUCUCACACAGCAGGUACUUGGUAGUGUUUGAAUACAGCCAGCCAGGAAGACACCUGUGACUGAAUUGUCUCUGUCAGUGGAGAGAUGGGUACGUCAGGGGCUGCAGAGAAGACCUAUGUCAGGAUCAAUCUCAUACUGGGUCCACAUAUCUGUAUCACUGCCAUUGGCAUGUUUAACGCUGAUUGGAAUCCAGUGACAAUGUGCCAGGCAUAUUCUUCUAUUUAUGUGGAAUUAAAACGCACACCACCCACCCUAGUGUGAACAUUUUCUUUUGUAAACACAAUGAUUAAAACUAAGAAAUUAUACAAUACUAGCAACUAAAAUCAGAUUUAAUACACCUUUCACUUUUUUUCCCCUUCUGUUGUCUGUUUUAUGUUCGCUGGGAUCCCACCUUGCAUACAAGAUCUGGUCUCCUCACUCAGUGGCAGUUCUCAAUCUCUCCUUGUCCUUUUCAACCUUGGCAAGUUGAAUCUGAACUCACUAGGUCACUUUAGAGCAUGUCCUCUGAUUUGGAUCUGUCCUGUUGUUGCUGAAUGAUGGAAUAAGGUCAUGUGUAUUUGGGCAAAGUCUUCAGAGAUGAUGUCUCUCAUCUGGGAUCCGUGGCUUCCAUGCAUCUCAUGACUGAGAGUGUUAAACCUUUGAUGACUGGGAUAAGGUGCUGGAUGGUGGUUGUCUCUGCUGUACUGCCAACACGUUCGUUCCCCUUGCUAUUGAGAAAUGUCUGAAUGGAGGAGACACUUGGAAAGAAGACAAUGUAAGCAGAAGAAUAUCAGUGCUAUCAUUGGUAGAUCUUCCUGGUAGCAAGUACUGGUGUGGUCUUCUGAUGAUGUUUCUGCUUCCACCAUCCCUGCUACAGAUUUUAAAUCAAAUCUACUGUAGCAAAACAUGCCCCUCCCCCUUCUUUUGUUUACUAUACCCCUCUGUUCUUGAAUUUGAUUCCAUGCUAUCUAUGUAUCACACUUUUCUGUGGAUGAUCUGGCCAUCGCCAUUAGGAAUUCUUCAGGGUCGUUUCAAUUGGCCCCUCAGUUUAUCAUUUUUAGAAAAAAUUUUUUAAGUGUUUGGGGAUUUUUUUGUUUGUUUGUUUUGUUUUACUCUUGUCACUUACUGAUGCUCAGAAAAUUGAAAACCUUAAACAUUUCAUUGCAACUUCAUAUCUUACCUAGACACUAAAAUGUAUUAUCAGAAAUGCCAGGACAUCCAUGAAUGCCUAUAAUCCUAGAAUUUUAGAGGCUGAGGCAAGAUUAUUGUUACAAGUUUGCAGUCACCCGAAGAUACAUAGUAAACCUCUGUCUCAAAAGAGUUCUCAUAGGAUAACUCAUGUGGUCUGUUACUGCGCUUUUAGCUGCUUGAAUCUCUUGUGAAGGACUUGUCUCAAGGGACCUCAGAAACAGUAACUCUUUUGUUCUUCUUCAGGUUCUGCCCCCACCAUACUGUCUUGGCAGUUAGGUUGUAAUGUGUGGAGUAUAGCAUAUUCCAAUCAAGUCUCAAUGUCUGCCAUCUAAUUAGCUUUCAAUAACUGUGCAGGUGUUCUCCUUCCCGAUAGAUGUACCCAAACAAAAGCAUAUGUUCCGAGUGGUACAGAGGGUAUGGCAGGGUGCCUGCUGAGUUCGUUACAACUUUAGUGUCUCUGAGCAUAAUUCCCCUGUUUGAAUGAACCUUGUUCUUCACCUGGGGCUUUGACUGAGCUCAAUAGUCAGUUGUCUCUUCCUUCAAAGUGAAUUAAAUUUGAAAAGUUAAAACAACUACCAAGUCCAAAGUGCUGCAUAAAUUGUUUAGGCAGCAUCUGCAUCUCAGGUGGGAGAUUCUUCUUUGAAAUUAACUUGAAAGUGAAACCCCUAAGCUCUUGACUCCUUAGUGAGCCUAGAGCAGGGCUCUUCUCUACCCACUGCUCCUCAGGCUGUUGCCAUGCCAUUAAUCAAGGGAACCCAUAAGACAUUAGGUUUCGCUUUACUCACUUCUUCUGCUACAUCCAUUUUUAUAUGAUCUUUCUAUAAAAACACCUUAAAUUACUCUCAGUAUUUUGGUAACUCAAAGUUAUAGAAAAUUCCGCUCCAGCAAAAGAAUUCAAAUAGAACUGGUAGAAACAGAGAUUUUAUUAGGAAAGUUCAUCUUGGACAAGAUCAAUGGAGAGGCAUGUGUUUUAAUAUCUGCAUGGCAUCUGUAUUUGGGCAAAAGAUC
rnacentral:lncRNA from 1 species